rnacentral:rRNA from 1 species
AAGCAACGCGAAGAACCUUACCAGGUCUUGACAUCCUCAGACAACCCUAGAGAUAGGGCGUUCCCCUUCGGGGGACAGAGUGACAGGUGGUGCAUGGUUGUCGUCAGCUCGUGUCGUGAGAUGUUGGGUUAAGUCCCGCAACGAGCGCAACCCUUGAUCUUAGUUGCCAGCAUUAAGUUGGGCACUCUAAGGUGACUGCCGGUGACAAACCGGAGGAAGGUGGGGAUGACGUCAAAUCAUCAUGCCCCUUAUGACCUGGGCUACACACGUGCUACAAUGGAUGGUACAAAGGGCAGCAAAACCGCGAGGUCGAGCAAAUCCCAUAAAGCCAUUCUCAGUUCGGAUUGCAGGCUGCAACUCGCCUGCAUGAAGCCGGAAUCGCUAGUAAUCGCGGAUCAGCAUGCCGCGGUGAAUACGUUCCCGGGCCUUGUACACACCGCCCGUCACACCACGAGAGUUUGUAACACCCGAAGUCGGUGAGGUAACCUUUUUGGAGCCAGCCGCCGAAGGUGGGA